UACGUAGGGGGCAAGCGUUAUCCGGAAUUACUGGGUGUAAAGGGAGCGUAGACGGUAAUGUAAGUCUGGUGUAAAAGGCAGUGGCUCAACCAUUGUAUGCAUUGGAAACUGGUAGACUUGAGUGCAGGAGAGGAGAGUGGAAUUCCAUGUGUAGCGGUGAAAUGCGUAGAUAUAUGGAGGAACACCGGUGGCGAAAGCGGCUCUCUGGCCUGUAACUGACACUGAGGCUCGAAAGCGUGGGGAGCAAACAGG
rnacentral:rRNA from 1 species